rnacentral:ncRNA from 2 species
UCAUACGACACGGGGUGCCGGGCAACUAGUCCGGCUGAGAUCACACCCGCUGAACCUGAUCGAAUUCGAAUUCGCGGAGGAAUGUCCUUAUGACUGAUG